GGAAGGAUCAUUAACACGUUUCUAUCAUAAAACGUAACACAAAACGCGAACUAAGUUAUUUCGAUCCUCGACUGUGCAUGUGAAUUGACAACCAUGUGGGAUAAUGAUGUGGACGGCCUUCGGGUUGUCGUCUCACUGGUUACAAGUUGUGUAGACAUUCGUGUCUGCACAGACAAUUGUGAUGCAUAAGUCAGGACACACAUCUUGCUUGCAACUUACCUCACUUCAUGUGAGUUCAAGCGAGAACACUAUUCACCAAUUUCACCAUACUUUUUGCUAGUUGACUUUAUAUGUUACUAUUCGCAAGGAUCGUAGCACGUUUAUUAAUUGAACGUUAAAUUGUACAACUCUUAGCAAUGGAUAUCUUGGUUCUCGCAACGAUGAAGAACGCAGCGAAAUGCGAUACGUAAUGCGAAUUGCAGAAUUCAGUGAAUCAUCAAAUCUUUGAACGCAAAUUGCGCUCUUGGGUAGCCCUAGGAGCACGCCUCUCUCAGUAUCGGUUCAAACACAACUCAGCAGCGUAUUGUAAUGAUACGUGUUGGCUGGAUAAUGAGAGUCUGUAUGUUCAGUACAGUCUCUUGAAAUGCAUUGAGUGAAGUCUAUCACAGUUCACACUAUUCGACUUCGAGUCGAAAAGCCGGUCUCUGACUGGUUGUGUUGAGAAGUGACGUGAAUAAUCGGAGAGAUUCGUCUCUUCAUAACAUUUACGUGUAACUGUAUCAACACGACUAUUCCAAAGGUCUAGGAUGGCUGUAUGAGCAUAGGUAGCUUCAUGUCUAACGCAACUGAAUGGUUGCAAACUUAUUGUGAGUACUCUACGUAUUGACAAUCUGACAUUUGAUCUGAGAUGAAGCGAGACAACCCCCUGAAUUUAAGCAUAUUAAUAAGGGGAGGAAAAGAAACUAACAAGGAUUCCCUUAGUAACGGCGAGUGAAGCGGGAAGAGCUCAAUUUGAAAAUCGACUACCUAAGCGGGUCGUCGAGUUGUAGCCUAUAGACGUAUCAUCAGCUGAAACCUGGGUAUAAGUUCUUUGGAAUGAGGCAUCAUAGAGGGUGAGAAUCCCGUAUAUGACCCAAAGCUUUCAGCGUACGAUAUAUGUUCAUCGAGUCGAGUUGUUUGGGAUUGCAGCUCUAAAUGGGUGGUAAGUUUCAUCUAAAGCUAAAUAUAGGCGAGAGACCGAUAGCGAACAAGUACCGUGAGGGAAAGAUGAAAAGAACUUUGAAAAGAGAGUUAAAAGUACUUGAAAUUGCUAAGAGGGAAGCGCUGACAACCAGUCACCUUCCUGUCGUUCAUCGCUAUCAGUUGCCUUAAGAGUGGUCGUGUAGUAGUUGGUUAAACUCUAUCUGCAUAUUACUUCUUGAGGUAGUUGGUAGUUUCGGAUGAUGGGUGAGUCAAGAUCCAUUCGAUUUGUCUGUGGGAGAAGGUGGUGAGAAAGGUAGGAGUGGUAACACUCUGUUAUAGUCUCAUCACUCUACCUCGGCUUGGAUGGAGGAAGUAAUAGUGCGCUGCUUGCGGCUUAGUCUCGUGCUCCUAUGCGUUUAAUUGCCUUGAUAGCAAUGCUAUGUUGGUAGUGAAGGCGUGUACUGGGUACGAUGACUCUAUGUGCUAUCACGAUCUUGUACGAAAUGGUUGUCAUCGACCCGUCUUGAAACACGGACCAAGGAGUCUAACAUCUAUGCGAGUAUUUGGGUGCAAAGACCCUGAUGCGCAAUGAAAGUAAAGGCAGCUUGUCUGCUGAGGUAGGAAUCCGGUCAAACGGAGGCACCAUCGACCGAUCAUCACUUGUGAAAGAUUUGAGUAAGAGCAUAUCUGUUGGGACCCGAAAGAUGGUGAUCUAUGCCUGAACAGGGUGAAGCCUCAGGAAACUGAGGUGGAGGCUCGUAGCGAUACUGACGUGCAAAUCGUUCGUCUGAUUUGGGUAUAGGGGCGAAAGACUAAUCGAACCAUCUAGUAGCUGGUUCCCUC
rnacentral:misc_RNA from 1 species